UGCGACUAAGCUUUGCGAAUACUAUUGUUUUGAUAUACUGCACAGCAUUUGCUGCAGAGGCAGCAAAGUUCUAUCAAGUUGACAAGUAUGCCUUGUGCGACGAUGUUUCAAAUAGUGCAGCAAAGUUUAGUGACGUACACAUCGUUGGUAAGAAGCAAGCUAUAAGUAUUUCUGCUGUAGUGCAAGAAAUCAGAGAUAUAAAAUCUCCCGUGCAGUUCCGACUGUCGGUAAACCGCUGUGAGUUGGAUAAAACCAACUGCGUGCCCUUUGAUACGAUUACUUUUGACGACGUGUGCCCAAUAUUCAAUGAUAACCAUAUCGUGAAAGCUUACAUGGGUUUCUUCUCACCACCCGUUACUUGCCCGAUGCAGAUUGGAAAAUACACCGCCAAAAAUGGCAUCCUCGAUAUGAGAGUCUUUGAAGGAUUUCCAAUCGGAAAUGCGCACUGGCAAACGGAAAUGAGAAUCAUCGAUGGCACCAACAAGACGGAAAUUUGCAUCAGGACAGAAGUUACCAUUACAGAGAAUGAUAUGUAAUGCAAUAUAGAUCUCGUUUCAGCUGUUGAAAUAGCAUCACUU